GGCAAACCCACUGGGAAAAUGCAGAGAAAGACUUUGUUAUUACAAAUAUCUCGGCUCAACAAACUCCAUUGUCGAUUCAAUCAAACCUCUUCCUUCUCAUCUGAAAAGACCCAAUAUUUCCUUUCACUCGCCGACAAUAAUGGCGAUCCUGUGUACUCAGACGUGCCCAAGCCACGGCCAGGCAAGUCCCAAAGGAAACCGUACCCGACACCCAUGAAAGAACUGAUUGAAAGGGCUAAACAAGAGAAAGAGUUGAGAAAAUCCCAACCCUGUCGAUUACUCGAACAUCCGCCAGCCAAUGGGUUGUUGGUUCCUGAACUCGUCGACGUCGCUCACCGAGUCUACCGAGCUCGUCAACUCAUCCUCGCCGGCUUGUCCAAACUCGUCCAAUUCAUCCCAAUUCAGAGAUGCAGAUUUUGUUAUGAGGUUCAUAUUGGACCUGUGGGUCAUGAAAUCCGUACUUGUACCGGUCCAAAAAGCGGUUCAAGGAGUGCAACUCAUGUAUGGAGGAAGGGAAGGGGAAGUGAUGUGAUAUUUUUCCCCAAAUCUUUCCAUCUCUAUGAUCGUGUUGGGAAAUCAAGGGUUGUUCAUGAUGAUAGUCAUAGUGUCCCUCGAAUCCCUGCAAUUCUAGAGCUUUGUAUACAAGCUGGUGUAGAUGUUGAGAAGUACCCUUCGAAGAGAAGAACAAAGCCUGUAUACUCUAUUGAAGGCAGAAUCGUGGAUUUCGAGUCGGUGGUCGGAGUAGAUGAAAUGGAAAGCAACUUGUUUUUAAAGAAUGUUAACGACUCUGAAGUUGGUGUAUUGAGGAGGGACUCAAAUUUGGAGUUAAAUGAUGAAUAUAUCAACCUGAUAGAGUUGAGUACGAUGACAUUGAAUUCGUGGUUUGAAAUGAUAGGAGGUGCGAAGAAGAUCAUGGAGAAGUACAGUGUCUGGACGUGCGGGUAUUGUCCCGAGGUUCAGGUUGGUCCUAAGGGACAUAAAGUUAGAAUGUGCAAAGCAUCGAAGCACCAGUCUCGAAAUGGUUUGCAUGCAUGGCAAGAAGCGACUAUUGAUCAUCUUGUUGGUCCCAAUUAUGUCUGGCAUGUUCGUGAUUUGAAUGGGCCUCCUCUGCGUAAUGAUUUGAAGAGAUAUUAUGGUAAAGCCCCUGCUGUGGUGGAGCUAUGUGUACAAGCUGGUGCACCUGUUCCGGAUCAGUAUAAAAGUAUGAUGAGAUUAGAUGUGGUUCCUCCUGAACGUGAUGAAGUUGAUCUCGUGGCAUGAAUUUCUGCUGUAUGCAGAGGUAUUCCAUGCAUUAACCAAAGAUCUCCUGACAAAACCUUCCGAUCCUAGGUUUCUACAGCUAAAUUGUCACUGUUGUAUUGGAUUUGCUACUAACCAAGCCUCAACAACUCAGCCUUCAUGUUUUCAGGUGAGGUUCAUGAUCUACAGCCACUGUUUUACUUCUUUGCAUGAGACCAAUAAUUCUUUCUUCAGCUUCAAUCAAUAACUCAACAAUAAUGGAACAUUUUCAUGCUUUGACAUUGUCAUGCAGCCAUUGCUGCUUCGAUUUCAAGCUGUUGAAAAUCAGUCAGGGCUACCGUUUUCCGAAGUGUUCAUUCACAUUCUCAGGUCUUUGAGCUCUUUUAGUAGGUUGAGCUGAUAGGGUUCAGCAGGAAGGCAUGAGAUGAUUCUGAGCCAUGUCCAACCUGUGGAUCCAAAUGUCUCUAGGAUUGAGCAAAAGUAGGUCAUAUUAGUCGGCC